rnacentral:tRNA from 1 species
UUCGGGGUAGUAUAAUUGGUAAAACACCGCCCUGUUAAGGCGUGAGAUGUGGGUUCGAGCCCCACCCCCGGAGCCA